UACGUAGGGUCCAAGCGUUGUUCGGAUUUACUGGGCGUAAAGGGCGCGUAGGCGGCUUGACAAGUCAGUUGUGAAAUCUCCGGGCUUAACUCGGAACGGCCAAGUGAAACUGUCAUGCUAGAGUGCAGAAGGGGCAAUCGGAAUUCUUGGUGUAGCGGUGAAAUGCGUAGAUAUCAAGAGGAACACCUGAGGUGAAGACGGGUUGCUGGGCUGACACGGACGCUGAGGCGCGAAAGCCAGGGGAGCAAACGGG
rnacentral:rRNA from 1 species